AAGGGACUGCCGGUGACAAACCGGAGGAAGGUGGGGAUGACGUUAAAUCAUCAUGCCCCUUAUGACCUGGGUACACACGUGUACAAUGGGCAGAACAAAGGGCAGCGAAACCGCGAGGUUAAGCCAAUCCCACAAAUCUGUUCUCAGUUCGGAUCGCAGUCUGCAACUCGACUGCGUGAAGCUGGAAUCGCUAGUAAUCGCGGAUCAGCAUGCCGCGGUGAAUACGUUCCCGGGCCUUGUACACACCGCCCGUCACACCACGAGAGUUUGUAACACCCGAAGUCGGUGAGGUAACCUUUUUGGAGCCAGCCGCCGAAGGUGGGACAGAUGAUUGGGGUGAAGUCGUAACAAGGUUGCCGU
rnacentral:rRNA from 1 species